rnacentral:lncRNA from 1 species
CAGCGCUGUUCAACUCUGUCAGUUGAAGGAGAGAUGCGCUGACCAUGGGUGCAGAGUAGCAGUCCCGAGAUCAAACCAAGCCCCACGCCUGCUACCAAAUCUUUGGACACAAACAUGCAGGGCUUCACACCUGACGCCAUUCUUCCAGCACGAGAUCAAGUGGGACCACCUGGCUCAGCUACCAAAGAGGUUCAUGCGGGGCGAGCGACUGCUGUGAGUGCUCUUUGGCAAGCAGAAACUGAGGCCCAGGAGGUCGGCAACUUGUCUGAUGCUGCAAUGCUUGGGCUUUUAAUUCCAUGGAGCUCUGGAGGUGCCCUUGUCACUUUUCUGGGAACCACUCUAGAGGACUUGUUCCUGGGGCAGGAUUUUUCUGUGGGCUUGGCUGCCACUGUUCCUGGGGAAGCCCAGCUGGUGACAAUGCUUGAGGUUACAGAUCCCCUUCUCUAGCCCUGGUGCUAGAUGUGUGCAAGAUGCCUUGGAGCCCUGCUCACAAAACUUACUCUCAAGAGGAGUGUGAAACUCAUUCAGAUGACUAAGAAGAGGAUAUUGUGGUACUAACCAGCGAGCCAGUCAUCAUUCCGUACGUCCGUUCAUCUGUCCAUCCAUUCAUCAAUCUACCCAUCUAUUCCCUCCUUCCUGCCCUCUGCACAGUCAUUCAUCCAGGGCUUGGAGUGUUCUAGGAUAGUAAGGCAGUCAGCACGGAUCUGUGAGACUGGUGAGAACUAGUUAUCUCUAGCCAGGUUGGUGACUUUUAGUAUUAAAAAAUACAUCUGAAAACUCAAGUUUGAUUAGACUCCUCCCAGGCCUAACCUUUGCUAGCUCAGACCAAGAUUCCCUCGGCUCCAGCGCUGCCCUGGGAGCUCCCAGGGCUCCAGCAGCUACGCAGUGGACUGGUUUGCUGCAGCAGACUAGGGGUGUGGAAGGGAGCCUGGGUCCCCAGCACAGAGGCCAACCUGCCUGCCGCUCACAGGCCCCUCUGUCAGCCCCUGCACACCCCGCCUCACCUUCUCUUCUCUACUCUAAAAGGUCAGGGCAGUCUUGAGGGUUUUCGUGACCCAGCACAGCAGAGGGACCAAGGUGCCAGUGGGAGCCUCCUGCUGGGCUCUUCUGGCUGAGAAAGCUCCCUGGGGACGAGCGCCCCUAGGCCCCAAGUGCUCCUGGCUCAACCAGAGGUGACAGAUGUGCAAAGCACAGGCUCUGGAGUCAGAGACCCCCAUCUCCACCUCUCUGCCACUCACCAGCUGGGGGACAUUUAAUGUCACUUGUCCCUUAGUUGAUUAAUGCCUUAGUGUCUACAUCUCCAAAAUCAAAAUAACUUGUUUCCUUGGCUCGGGGCCAUUAAAUAUGAAAAACAGUCCUCUAAGAACCUAAUGCAUGUUAGCCUCUCAAUAGAUAUUAACUCCUGGUGAUUUAGUCCAGAAUGGCGGAGUGAAGGCCUCAGAAAAUCCAUCCCUGCAUCAAACAGACCAGUGUGCAAAACAUUGUUUUGUGACAAAAACAAAACAGCUGUCAAAAUCUUUUCCAGAGCCUCCAGGUAUAAACUGGAGCCCCCAGCAGAGUAUUUAUAGGGGAAAAUGGCCUAAUCUUGGGAACAACAAGCUUGCUUUCACUUGGCCUAACCCAACCUCCCUCCCCCCAGUGCUGAGAGAGCCUCGAAAACCAAACUUGUUCAGUGAGACCAGCUGUGAAAAGAGGCACCCAGCGGCCGCUGGAGAGGACAGACGGACAGAUACGGGGAAGAUACCCGAGCACCUGGGCAAAGGCUCAGCCGUCCCAGCCGCCAGGGAAUAGGAAUCAAGACCACAGGAGAAAUCACACCACUGGAUUGGUGUGAUCAGGAUUAAAAGGCAGGCAGCAGCAAGUGCUGGGAAGGAAUAAGAAACCAGAAGCCCGCACACUGCUGGGGGGAGCAGACACUGGCACGGCCACUCUGGAAAACAGUCUGAACACGGUCUACCGCAUCCACAAUGCCACUCCCAGCUCUGUCUCCAAGAGGAGGGCCACAUCCACCUGUACUAACACUAGUAGGCAAAUGUCCGUAGCAGCGUCACUCGUAACAGCCAGAACGGGAAGCAACACAGCUGUCCAUCGGUGGAGGAGUCGGUGAGCGGGAGAAAGUUCGGGGCCGGACGUGUCCCUCGGUGAGGAGGUGUCUGCCUAGCAGGUGUGAGGCUCCGCUGCAUCCCCAGCACCGGAACAAAAAGUGCUAUCUGCCCUCAGUGGGAAGUUGUUCUACCGUGAAAAGGAAUGAAAUACUGAUCAAUCCUACAAUGUGAAUAAUGAACACUGGAAAGGAAAUAUACUAAGUGAAGGAGGCAGGCCCUAAAAGAUCACAUCUUGUAUGAUUCUGCUUACAUGGCGUGGCAGAAUAAGCCAGAGUAUAGACAGGAGACAGGUGGGCAGUGUGAAGCUAAUGGGCACAGGCUUCUUCGGGGAUUUUUAUUUACAUGCUGGGACUAGAACCUAGAGGCUUGUUCAUGCUGGGUAAAUGUUUUAACACUGAACUAUACCCCUGACCUAAAAUAAUGAAAUUUAACGCAAUUGGUUGUGAUGCUUGUACAACUCCAUCAGUACAAUCAAAAAUUAUAAACGCUAAGGGUGAACAUUUUCGAAUGCAAACUAUGGCUCAAUAAAGCUAUUAAAAAUUUCUACUCACACUGAGCCCUUUCAGGGGCCUCCUUGUGGAUUGGCACCACUCUGCCCCGCCCAUGGUCCCCUUGGUGGCCGGAGUUGAUCUUUGAAGCCAGAAGCAUCAUCCCGUCUACCCAAAGCCCAUCCAGCCCCCACUGCCCUUCCUUUAGCCUGCUCCCUAGGCUCAGGUCUCCGUGUGUGCUACUCCCUCAGCCCAGCGUGCCUCGCCUCUGGUUCGCUCGCUGACCCUGUCCACUCUCAGGUCCAGCCAGACGUUGCCUCCCCGGGGACGCCUUCCAGAAACCCUCUGACAGGCCACCACCUAGCCCAUUUCCCACGACUGUUUCUUCAGAUAGUGCUGUUCCUCACGCUGGUCCAGCUCCUGUUCCUCCACUAGUUAGAACCCUGCAGCCAAAGGGUGGUCUGGCUUAUCCCUGUGGCUACAACCUCAGCAUCUAUGCCAGUGUCACGUACCUAACAGGUGCUGAGUCAACACCUGUGCAUGAAUAGUGGCCCGUGCAUCAGUGUAACCAGGAAGGAGCUCAGGACCCAGCCAGGCCAAGCCAGUGCCUAUGAUCUGGGCAAAGACCCCAGGCAAGCUGUGCAAACAACCCCAAUUUACUUGGUAUAAGUAACCCCAGUACAUGGCUGGGGGGAGCUUCUCUUUGCACAGCUUGGGAGAAAAGUGCUCCGACAUUUCCUGUGAUUCACACCACUUUGCAGGUGAAGAGAGUGCAAGCCAG